UUUUUUUUUUUUUUUUUUUAACUUCCUUUUCUCAUCUGCAAUACCAAUUUCUAAAAAUUUCCCUAAUGUUGUUGGGCCAGCAGCCAUUAAUUGCUUCUGGAUUGAAUCUAUGGCACCCCCUCCCUUCAAACAUUUCCACUUAUAACAAAACAAAAAAAGAAAAUGAAGCAGCUAAAUUUUCUGAAAAGAAGAAAAAUUCCAAGGGGGUCAAGAAUGAGAUAUAAUAUGUGCAUAGAGGAGCUCAUUCCAAGUAUCAGGCAACCCAGGUAGACACCAAUGGAUGCAAUCUGCAUACAUUGCUGGGUUAGCUUGCUGCUCUGCCGUGAGCAGCUGGCCUUGGCGGGUUGUGUAUAUCGAUGUAUGUGCAUCUUUUCUGUACUCUGAUAGUGUCGUAAUGUUGACAAUAUAAAUAGGCACUUUGAUGGAUCCAGUCACAUUCGUCGCAGUAACGAAUAGGCGGCGAUCAGUGCCUACAUCCAAUGGAGCAGUCAUGGUAGCUACUGGGGUGGUCUCCCUAGCACACUUGAUCCCUUCGGGAUUGUUCCAAUCCAAGCUCUUGAUAUGAAGAGGAGACAUGCUCAUGAAGUAGACUGAAGUGCGAUUAGGAUCUACAUUUUCCUCAACCCACUUAGCCAUUGUCCUCAUAACUCUUCCAUAUGCUACUGUUCUUUCAAUCUCUUCAUACUCUACAUUGCUUUCAUCGAAUUUUCCUCGCUUUCUUCACUUUCAUUAAACCCAGAAGGGAAACAUAUCAACUUCACAACUACCCUGAAUUGAUUUGUGUAUAUACACAAGUUUACAGCUUGAAUCAAUUAACUUACAGGACUUUCAUUUUAGGAGAGUUCAUCCACCAUAUGUAUGUGUUGAAAAUUAGAUAAUCCACAUUCUUCCAAUUAACACCAUGUUUAUUGAUUGCUUCUGGCAUAAUUAUACGAUUCAAGAUGCUGUGCAUGUUUGGAUCAUCAGAAUUUGACUCCACUAGAAAUGGAGCCCAAUAGAACUCUAUUGUGGCAUUGUAGUCCUCCAUUGUGAAAAUAGCAAAAGAUCCUUCCUUCCUCCAGGUCUUCCUUCCAGAAGGAACUGCAGAUUGUACCAAACAAAUCAUUGAUUCCCAUUGGUUCCUAUUCAAUGAGUCCCCAACAAACAGAAGCCUCUUGUUCCUCAGCUUGUUUAACAAUAGCCUUGGGUUGAACUUAGGUAAAGAACAAUCUCUAGGCUGCCAUUUCCAGUUUUGGUACAAAGAGUCUUUUCUGCCAUUUCUAAGGCACGUCACUUGAGCUGUAAGAAACUCACACUCAUCUUCUUUGUACAAAGGACGUGUCGCAUUGUCAAAAACCCAUUGCCCUGUGAAAAGAUCACACUCUUCGGGUGGCAAUUCAACCUCCUCAUCAUCUUCCUCCACAAGUGGCAAUUCAAUUUUCUGCUCAUCUUCCUUAUUAGUUGCGUUGGAUGAAUUGGAAUUAUCAUCAGAUUCUUGAGCUGUUUCAUCAGAGUCCUGAUGACCAUGAGGUUCUUCUAGCGAUAGCGUUCUUGAAUUCAUAGAAACAAUACCUUCUGUAUCUUUCUUCAUAGUUUCUGGAACUGGAUUUGCCUCUAUCGAUGGUUCUUCUUGAAUUUCUUGAGAUUUAGGCCAAGAAAAUGGGAAUUCAGCCAUGGACUUAACGUCCUCGUUGUACAUAAAAACCCCAAAGAGAAAAACAGAAAAAACCACAACAAAUACUGAGAGAUUGUUGCUUUUCCUGUGCUUCAUAGCUACUGUUACCGAGGAAAAGAGAGGUGUUUUCCUUCGAGAUGGCUGCAUGAGACAAAGUGGAAGUGGUGAGAGAGAAAAGAAGGGAAAGAGAUGGAAAUAUAGAAAGAAACCAUUGAACAAGAUAAAGACACACACAAAGACACAGAAAAACUUGCAAUGUAAAAAAAAUACUUCAAUAAGGGAUUUGGUGAGAUGGGUUUUUCUUCAAGAAAAUGGUUAGGCUUCUGGUGGAGGGAGAGUUGUCUCCCUCAAUUUAUUUAUCUUUAUAAUCCAUUGUUUUGCUAACUACUUUCCUUUGUAUCUUGUUCUAACAGUAUCUGUGAGAGAGAGAGAUGAG
rnacentral:misc_RNA from 1 species